UACGGGGGGGGCAAGCGUUGUUCGGAUUCAUUGGGCGUAAAGAGCGUGUAGGCGGCCAGGUAGGUCGGUUGUGAAAACUGGAGGCUCAACCUUCAGACGUCGACCGAAACCAUCUGGCUAGAGUCCGGGAGAGGAGAGUGGAAUUCCUGGUGUAGCGGUGAAAUGCGCAGAUAUCAGGAAGAACACCCGUGGCGAAAGCGGCUCUCUGGAACGGUACUGACGCUGAGACGCGAAAGCGUGGGGAGCGAACAGG
rnacentral:rRNA from 1 species